rnacentral:rRNA from 1 species
AUUCCUACGGGAGGCAGCAGCAGGGAAUAUUGCGCAAUGAGCGAAAGCUUGACGCAGCGACACCGCGUGUGGGAUGACGGAUCUAGGUUUGUAAACCACUUUCAGGAGGGAAGAAAAUGACGGUACCUCCACAAGAAGCCCCGGCCAACUACGUGCCAGCAGCCGCGGUAAUACGUAGGGGGCGAGCGUUGUCCGGAUUUAUUGGGCGUAAAGAGCUCGUAGGCGGUUCAACAAGUCGGUCGUGAAAGUUCAGGGCUCGACCCUGAAAUGUCGAUCGAUACUGUUGUGACUAGGAUACGGUAGAGGUGAGUGGAAUUCCGAGUGUAGCGGUGAAAUGCGUAGAUAUUCGGAGGAACACCAAUUGCGAAGGCAGCUCACUGGGCCGCUAUCGACGCUGAGGAGCGAAAGCUAGGGGAGCAAACAGGAUUAGAUACCCUGGUAGUCCUAGCUGUAAACGAUGGAUACUAGACGUAGGAAUUGGAUUAACGAUUUCUGUGUCGUAGCUAACGCGUUAAGUAUCCCGCCUGGGGAGUACGGUCGCAAGACUAAAACUCAAAGGAAUU